rnacentral:tRNA from 1 species
GCCUGGGUGGUUUAGUCGGUUAAGCAUCCGACUUUGGCUCGGGUCAUGAUCUCACGGUUCAUGGGUUCGAGCCCCACAUCAGGCU